AACCAUCAAACUACAAAUGUUUAUUAUAAAUAUUUGUAGGGUUGGAUAUUGGGUGCUUUGCUGGGGGAACUUAGCUCACCUGAAAUAUAUUAGCUAGCCUAAAUAUCAUGGACUAUCCACUUGGCGUGAUAAGUAUCACCCGCUGAGGACUUAUCCAUUGAUUGUUGACUGCUUCUAAUCUAAGUAUGUUGAAUC
rnacentral:misc_RNA from 2 species